CGCAUCUGUGCAUGCAGCAUAUCAAUAAGCGGAGGAAAAGAAACUAACAAGGAUUCCCCUAGUAACGGCGAGUGAAGCGGGAAGAGCUCAAAUUUGAAAUCUUGAAAGGUCACCUUUCACGAAUUGUAGUUUAAAGAAGUGUUUUCUGUUACGAUCGUAAUAUAAGUUCUUUGGAAUAGGACAUCACAGAGGGUGAGAAUCCCGUCUAUGAUUGCGAUUUGUAGCUUUGCGAUACACUUUCAAAGAGUCGGGUUGUUUGGGAAUGCAGCCCAAAACGGGAGGUAAAUUUCUUCUAAGGCUAAAUAUUGGCGAGAGACCGAUAGCGAACAAGUACCGUGAGGGAAAGAUGAAAAGAACUUUGAAAAGAGAGUUAAACAGUACGUGAAAUUGUCAAAAGGGAAGCGUUUGACACCAGUGUUGUUUUCUCGAAAAUCAAUUAAAAAUGGCUCGAUUUUGUAUUGCUGAGACCUUAAAAGCUCACUGUACAUUUUUCGUGUCUUUUUUAAUGCACUUUUCGUUUAACAAGUCAACAUCAGUUUCUUUUGUUGUAAAAGGGUCAUUGGAAGGUGGCUUUCUUUUCGGAGAAAGUGUUUAUAGCCUUUGGCCUCUGCAAUCGAAGAGACUGAGGUCUGCAGCGUAGACUCUUCGGGGUUAGAUACAUUUGUGCUAAGUUAUAGCAUUUUAUAGACAACUUGUUGACUAUGAUUAGUCUUGUAGCUUACUCGCUUAUGCUAUUUUACCUACGCUUAGGAUGUUGACGAUCAGCUGAGCGCG
rnacentral:rRNA from 1 species